rnacentral:rRNA from 1 species
GACGAACCGUGCGAACGUUAUUCGGAAUUAUUGGGCGUAAAGAGCGUGUAGGCGGUCCGGUAAGUCGGCUGUGAAAGUCCAGGGCUCAACCCUGGGAUGCCGGUCGAUACUGCCGGACUAGAGUUCGGAAGAGGCGAGUGGAAUUCCCGGUGUAGCGGUGAAAUGCGUAGAUAUCUGGAGGAACACCGGUGGCGAAGGCGGCAUCCUGGACCGAAACUGACGCUGAGGAGCGAAAGCCAGGGGAGCAAACGGG